rnacentral:lncRNA from 1 species
GACAUGAAUGGACAGUGAGGUGUUUGCUUCAUUCACAGGCCAGGGGGUGCCGCUCUCUCUCCCCACUAAGGACCCAUGGAGGUUGUGAUGAAACAGGCCAAGGCACACCUAGACAGAAGGCUCAUUGACAUUCACAACUGGGGCCCCAGAGCAAAGAGGACCUGCAGGCUUGAGCACUUCCCUUCCCUCCUCCUCUUUUGCAUCCCAUGCUGUGCUAGUGCUCCCACCUGGAGGCAGUGAAAUCAACCAACAAGCAGGAAGGCCUUGGAGGACACGUUUGCAUGCCAGCCCUAAGGGAGAGAGAGAAGUGGUAGGCAUGAGACUCCUCCCCUAGGUACCUCUGGCCCUGGAGAGCUCAGGCUGGGGACUCGGGUGCAAGGGGAGAAGGGAGGGUCCUGUGGCUCAGGCCAAACAUGUUCCAGGGGGCCAGCUGGGG